rnacentral:rRNA from 1 species
AUGAACGCUGGCGGCGUGCCUAAUACAUGCAAAUCGAGCGAACGGACGAGAAGCUUGCUUCUCUGAUGUUAGCGGCGGACGGGUGAGUAACACGUGGAUAACCUACCUAUAAGACUGGGAUAACUUCGGGAAACCGGAGCUAAUACCGGAUAAUAUUUUGAACCGCAUGGUUCAAAAGUGAAAGACGGUCUUGCUGUCACUUAUAGAUGGAUCCGCGCUGCAUUAGCUAGUUGGUAAGGUAACGGCUUACCAAGGCAACGAUGCAUAGCCGACCUGAGAGGGUGAUCGGCCACACUGGAACUGAGACACGGUCCAGACUCCUACGGGAGGCAGCAGUAGGGAAUCUUCCGCAAAGGGCGAAAGCCUGACGGAGCAACGCCGCGUGAGUGAUGAAGGUCUUCGGAUCGUAAAACUCUGUUAUUAGGGAAGAACAUAUGUGUAAGUAACUGUGCACAUCUUGACGGUACCUAAUCAGAAAGCCACGGCUAACUACGUG